CGGAACUUGCUGCCAGACUCUAUCGAGUCUGUUGAUACAUGGAGUACAUGGCCAGAAGUAUCAAACACACUCGUCUCAUAAAUCUAAGAAUUCAGCGGCAUCGACAAAUCAAGCAGACGAGUCCUGGUAAUCAAAAAUUGAUGUUUCGUCCCCUAUCGAAGACUUGGAAAUUUUUAAAUCAUUUGAUGAGGAUUUGAAGAUCAAUAUCGAAAUGAGAAAUGUUGUUAAAACUAUGUUCAAUGCCUGGACUAUGAUAAAAACAUCAAAAAAAUUAUGUCAGAGUUAUUAAAAAAGGAAAUACAAAUUUUAUACAGCGGAGUUGGACGAGUAACGAAAGGUGUUGGAAAGGAAAAUUUCAGUGCUACUGAAGUUUUUUCAUUGAUUCGAGAGUUCAUCGAAAACAAAUAUUCUGACCAAAAAAAAUCAUGAAGAUUAUCAGUGUCAUAAGUACGUAUCUAUCCGGAGCUGGAGAUCGUGACGGUGGAAGAUUAAC